UUUUUAAAUUAACAAGACGCUCUGUGGAGCGUUAACUCGCUGGGGCUACACAACUGACGCACAUUAUACUGUUAAGAUCUAAAGGCUGAUUUCCACUGGCACUGUUGCGUUUUUCGUACGCACGUACACACACGUAAAACUUUGAAUCCUUCUAUUUUUAAAUAUUUUACAAAUAAGUUAACAAAUUCAUACUAAAACUUGCGCAGCAGUAAAUUCUGUUGCUUUAUUUAUUUG